rnacentral:rRNA from 1 species
UUCGGAGAGUUUGAUCUUGGCUCAGGACGAACGCUGACGGUGUGCUUUAGGCAUGCAAGUCGAACGAGAAAGCCCUUCGGGGUUAGUAAAGUGGCGAACGGGUGAGUAACACGUGGGCAACCUGCCCCUCGCAGGGGGAUAACCGGGGGAAACUCCGGCUAAUACCCCGUACGCUUGUUGGAUCGCAUGGUCCGGCAAGGAAAGGUAGCUUCGGCCAUCCGGCGAGGGAUGGGCCCGCGUUGCAUUAGCUAGUUGGUGGGGUAACGGCCCACCAAGGCAACGAUGCGUAGCUGGUCUGAGAGGAUGAUCAGCCACACUGGGACUGAGACACGGCCCAGACUCCUACGGGAGGCAGCAGCCAGGAAUCUUGGGCAAUGGGCGAAAGCCUGACCCAGCAACACCGUGUGGGUGACGAAGGCCUUAGGGUCGUAAAGCCCUGUUGAUAGGGACGAAGGGCGAAGGGUUAAUAGCCCCCAGCUUGACGGUACCUUUCGAGGAAGCCCCGGCUAACUACGUGCCAGCAGCCGCGGUAAUACGUAGGGGGCGAGCGUUGUCCGGAAUUAUUGGGCGUAAAGAGCGUGUAGGCGGUUCGGUAAGUCUGCUGUGAAAUCCUAGGGCUCAACCCUGGGCGUGCAGCGGAUACUGCCGGGCUAGAGGGUGGUAGAGG